CAGAGACUGGAGGAAUGCUAUAAAGUGCCAUUUUGUGGACACGACAUGGCUGCGGCACUCCUAACUCUUAGAAGGGUCCUUAUGAUGCCUGCCAGGAGAGCACAGGUGUGGAGCUCACACCUGAAGAACAAAUCAUCGCAUCUGAAGACUGUUUAGAUUUCCAGCAAGAAAUCUAGUUAAAUGAUAGCAACAGUACCUAUUUUCAUGGCUGGCCACUGCUUCGUCUUGUUGCUAAUCUUUCAAAAGGAGUUGACUGAGGAAGAGCACACACACACACACACACACACACACACACACACACAAGUGUCUGAGCAACUGUGGUAAAAAUCCACCUCCUCAAACUACGAGGUGUCCUCCAACUGGCUGAUCACACCCUGGACUCUAUCGUUGCUUCCCACAAGUACAGCAAUACCAUCACUGAGCUCUGACUGAUGAAGAGAAAACAAGACUCAGGAUAUUAGGGAUUUCCUAAUCAUGGAUGCUUAUGGCCUACUCACAGCAUUGUCCUCAAGGGGGUUUUAUCCCCAAGGAGUAAACAACCCUACAAACAAACUCCAAGCUCAUGGAUUUCUCCUGAGACAUAUUCUUACCACGAGUGAAGAAGAGGAUGCUGCAAGUGAGCUGCAUCUCCAGUUUAGGCUGGCAGAAUUGUUGAGUACUAACCCUCCAGCCUCUGGCCCCAGAAAAAAAAGUCUGAGGAUGAAGGUGGCCAAGGAAAGCCAGAAUUUUUUGCAUUAUUAUAAAUUAAGGUGUUCAUUAAGUACCUGUAAGAGGUAUUCGUGGGAUAUGACUCCUUAUACAAAAUGCAGAGAAUAUAAUUAAUCCCAUCUAAAGACUGAGGCUGGAGUCAGUUAUAAGAAAUGUGUGAGCCUCGAUAUUGCAAGCAAACUUUGAUAUAUGCUUGGCUUUGCGUGGGAUGAGGUUCCAUAAUUUUCAUAUUAUUGAUGGAGAACUAGAUUCUGUUAAAAAUACAAAGAAAACCUAAUUAUAAGCUACUGAUAAUAGUAUACUGAAGUUGAAGACUUCUAAACACUGCAUAAAUGGAACAAUGUGACAGACACAAAUAUGUGACAUUUGAAACUCAAAAUGAGUUGUCUGUCUAGUGCAGUUCAGGACUAGUUUUACUUGAGCAAUAGAAGCAGUAAAUAUUCACCUAUCGGGUAUAUGUAUAUUCCAAUCCUACUAUGCUAAAACAGUGCAGAUACAUGAAAAUGCUCACUAGACUGUCACACAAACUCAAAACGGUAACAUGUGACUGGCUUUAGCAGAGACAAUACAACUUUAAAAUUCCUGUCUUCUUUUACCCCCAAAGUAGUUUUAUGUUCCUAUUUAACCUCCCCCUAAACUGGACAUAGAGCCAAGAAGUGCAGUAAGUUGAAAAUAAAUAACAGCAACAAAUAUAAAUCAUGGUUACUGGUCUUAA